rnacentral:lncRNA from 1 species
UUUUUUUUUCUUUUUGCAAAAAUACAUUUAAUGUGUUUUUCAUUGUAGGGGUAAGGUCUGCAUAACCCCACUUAUGGGAUUAUACUGGGUUUGUUGUUAUUGUUGUUGUACAUUUAACGCGUUUUAAACAAUGUUAUUAAAAGUCUAUCUCUUCUUCGCUUAAAAGGAUGAGCAAGGUGAAGCGAGGGAUAAUCGCUUCAUGAGCCUCACACGCUUUAAACAAUAAUGCACAAAGUGAUCCAAACACAAAGUUGUUGGUUCUUUGAAUCUCAAAUUAAAGAGUUCGAUUAACAUCAGUAUUACUAUAUAUUGAUGACGAUAAAAUUAAUCUUGCAAUUGCAAUUUGAUCAUUGUAGUACUAAAUUCAUAUAUGUUUGGUAGCUUGUAAUUUUCUGUAAGUUGUGCGCUUCAUUUCUUGCCUUUCGCUUCAAACCCUGCACCUUGUUGCUUCUUUGCGCUUUUCUUUUAAAAAUAUUUGCUUUUAAUCUUAAAGCCCUGGCUUGCUAUAAUUCAUUCACCAUUCACGGGAAAAAGGCGAUACUCAACCAUUAGAAUACAACUCUUCAUUCUUCACCAUGAUAAAUUCAAGACCACUUUUUCUUAUGCACUAAUUAUAAUAGAAGGAACAAGCAUAUACUAAUCAAUAAGCUUCUUAAGUGGAACAAAUCCAUCAGCUCUAGAAUCAGCUCAGAGAAGGUAACUACUUCCAACAGAUUUGCAACAUCAAGUCCCAAACUACAAAAACUAGCACAAGUUAGGUGUAGAUAGCAACCCUGCCAUACUCAAUGAGCGUGUUUAACUUUUGAAAGGUUAUUUUCAAUUUUUUCUUCUGGAAAGCUGUGUCUUAAUAACUGAAAUCAUUCUCUUUUCAGAAUAUUGGAAAACCUGAAAAUUUUAAAACAGAAGUUAAGAAGAUAACCAUUUUGAGCCACAGUGCUGUAGAGGGACCAAUUCAUCUGAGCAGUUGUUCAACAAAGUAGUGGUACUUGGGAGAUAAUCAGAUAAUUCUAGUUUUACACAUCUAGGAGAGGCCAAAGAAAGAUGCUCUAGCGUGUUGGGGCUUCAUAGGUAGCAGUGAUCCUGACCCUAUUCGAGAUUAAUGUAGGAUCUUAUUUCAAAUGUUCACAGCAAGGAGUGGUGUAGGGAAAAAUAAAUAGGACAUGAUUUACAUAAAACAAUUGCAUGGAUGAAAAGAAACUUGAUAAAUCUAAUGAACUUAGAACAAAUGCAAUGUAUGCCUACAUUUGCUUGUCAAGUACAUAUGUAUGUCCUAAGCAAAGAAAUUAUGCAGAAAAUGGACUAAAUGUAUCUCAUGCGUGAUGGAGUCGGGAAUAUUACUCUCGCGGUCUCACCUCAUAGGUUCACCACGUCGAGAUGAUGGAGCAUGACAUGAGAAGAAGAAAAUGUUCCAUUUGAGGUGGUUCCAUUCCAAGACAUAAUGAAAAUUAUCUGCAGCUCUGAAAAGAAGCAGCGACUCAGAUGAGAACAUAUUCCCAGUUCAGCAUUUUUCACCAAACAACGAGCAAAAGGGAAGAGGAUCCAACAAAAAUUUACUUAACUGAGAUAAAUAAAAUAAGUUCUGCUAAAAUUGGUUUGAAUGUGUCCACUUAAUCUGCAUAGUUUAGAGAAGCACUUUUGCAGAUACUACUAAUAGAAUGAUUCGUCUCGGAAAUUUGAGCAAUGACUAACAAGCAAAAGGGAAGAGGACCCAACAAAAAUUUACUAAACUGAGAUAAAUAAAAUAAGUUCUGCUAAAUUUGGUUUGAAUGUGUCCACUUAAUCUGCAUAGUUUAGAGAAGCACUUUUGCAGAUAGUACUAAUAGAAUGAUUUGUCUCGGAAAUUUGAGCAAUGACAGGUCUACAGAAAAAUAACCAAGUCAUUUGAUACAAGAGAAUAGAGCUGAGGUAACAAGCUAGCUGAUCAUUUGGCAGACUUAGUCUUCAAUGCGGAUGGGGAACUAAUAAUCAAUUCAUUUGUGGAGCUGGACACCAAAGGAAGGGCAUUUUGAAUUUGGAUAAGCUACAGUGGCCAUCGUUGAGAACCAAGGCAGUGAAGGGAAGAAAACAAUGACAUUCUAUAACGUGAAGACUGAAGAGUUUCAUUAGCAUAUGGUGGCGCAUGAUGGGGCAAUGGUUCUAUUCUGUGGAAUCGGAUACUUCAAGGUGGAAAGCAGCUUGCACAAAAUGAAAUCGUUGGCAGUGUGGACACUUCAUUUCUUUCGAGCAUUUUAUUAUUUUGUUCGAUGUGAGUUCAUCUUAGAAUAUUAAAUACAUGCAAAGAUGACAUUAGAUAGUUUCAUUAUUUCAUUAGACAUGGUUUGUUUUCAUUGUAAUAGUGUACACUCGUCCUGCACUCAAGUUGGAAUCUUUAUAAUUACUCAAAUUAGCCACUAGGUAACCUCCCUAGUGGUAGAUUAGCUUUAAAAAAGAGAGUCAAGGCUGAGGAAGUCUGUAAACUAUAGUUUAUUGUGUAUUAAGCUAAUAAAAGCAGUUCUCUCUCUAUCUAUCUCAUCGUAUUCGUUUGGUGAUUAAGCUUAGAAAAGGUAAAACAUAUGGCAAAAAAUUUGGGGCGGUUUAAAAUGGGUGAAGUAGAAGAAUCGGUCAUAACCUUAUCUUCCCGUAAGCAUAUUCAUUUAGUCUUUCCUGGACAACGGGAUCACCUUUGAAUUACAAUGUUAAUAGCUAAAAUUAGGAAGCUUUUUUCUUUUAGAGCAAUGCAAUGCAAUACAGUGAUACCAAACUCUCAAUAAAGAAAACAGAGAUCCCUUACUCCAGCAAUAGUAGUAUAGUGCAAUCCGUGUAACAGCGGAUACAGAAAUUCUUUUGAAUAUAUUUAAAAUCCAACUUAGCAGAAGCUUUAUACCAUUAAUCAAUAAACCAACAAGAAUGAGCUAUAAAAUUGCUUACCGUAUCAAAUAUCAAUUCGGCAGAAUUGGAUUGCAUAACUACUACAAUCUAACAUAUCAAAAUAAAUUGAGAAAAUAAAUGAAAUAAGUAC